rnacentral:rRNA from 1 species
GCGUAAAGGGCUCGCAGGCGGUUUCUUAAGUCUGAUGUGAAAGCCCCCGGCUCAACCGGGGAGGGUCAUUGGAAACUGGGGAACUUGAGUGCAGAAGAGGAGAGUGGAAUUCCACGUGUAGCGGUGAAAUGCGUAGAGAUGUGGAGGAACACCAGUGGCGAAGGCGACUCUCUGGUCUGUAACUGACGCUGAGGAGCGAAAGCGUGGGGAGCGAACAGGAUUAGAUACCCUGGUAGUCCACGCCGUAAACGAUGAGUGCUAAGUGUUAGGGGGUUUCCGCCCCUUAGUGCUGCAGCUAACGCAUUAAGCACUCCGCCUGGGGAGUACGGUCGCAAGACUGAAACUCAAAGGAAUUGACGGGGGCCCGCACAAGCGGUGGAGCAUGUGGUUUAAUUCGAAGCAACGCGAAGAACCUUACCAGGUCUUGACAUCCUCUGACAAUCCUAGAGAUAGGACGUCCCCUUCGGGGGCAGAGUGACAGGUGGUGCAUGGUUGUCGUCAGCUCGUGUCGUGAGAUGUUGGGUUAAGUCCCGCAACGAGCGCAACCCUUGAUCUUAGUUGCCAGCAUUCAGUUGGGCACUCUAAGGUGACUGCCGGUGACAAACCGGAGGAAGGUGGGGAUGACGUCAAAUC